ensembl:lncRNA
CGCUCAGUGCGUGACACUUGAGACCCCGGUUUAAAAUGAGCUUUGAAAUAGUCAUAAUUACAUGUGGUUGAGAUUAAGUACAACACUGUGCUUCCGGACAUCAUUUUAGUAAAAACGAAAUGAAUUAAGGUUAUGUUUUCCCAGACUGAGGACAUUCAUCUUCGGCAGGAGUGUGUCCUGAAAGCUCUCAACGUCUUCCUGGAGAAGAUGAAGAGAACCUGAUCAAGGCAUAUCUUAGAAACCCUGACAUCAUUGAAACAGGCAGUAACCAGGCAUAAGCAAUCAAUCCAGGAGGACCAGGAACAGUCUAAAGGACACAUGCGGCCUCAUCGGGGUCGGGCACCAUUUUUUUUGGUGGCGAUUGCUUCAUCUAAGGACCAAGCUGUUCAGCCACAGUGAGGCUCAGCCGGCCCUCUGAACUGAUGAACCAUGUGUGGUAAAGAGAGACGCAGAUUCACACAGGACCUCUUUUUGCAGCCAGAGGAGUCGCCCCCUGCUGGUCAGCCACGAGCGG